rnacentral:rRNA from 1 species
AAAGCCUUCGGGCUGAGUAGAGCGGCGGACGGGUGAGUAACGCGUAGGAAUCUACCUGGUAGUGGGGGACAACUUGGGGAAACUCAAGCUAAUACCGCAUACGCCCUAAGGGGGAAAGCGGGGGACCUUCGGGCCUCGCGCUAUCGGAUGAGCCUGCGUAGGAUUAGCUAGUUGGUGGGGUAAAGGCCCACCAAGGCGACGAUCCUUAGCUGGUCUGAGAGGAUGAUCAGCCACACUGGAACUGAGACACGGUCCAGACUCCUACGGGAGGCAGCAGUGGGGAAUAUUGCGCAAUGGGCGAAAGCCUGACGCAGCCAUGCCGCGUGUGUGAAGAAGGCCUUAGGGUUGUAAAGCACUUUCAAUUGGGAAGAAAAGUUUGUCGUUAAUAGCGGCAAGCUCUGACAUUACCUUUAGAAGAAGCACCGGCUAACUCCGUGCCAGCAGCCGCGGUAAUACGGAGGGUGCGAGCGUUAAUCGGAAUUACUGGGCGUAAAGCGCGCGUAGGCGGUUUGUUAAGUCAGCUGUGAAAGCCCCGGGCUCAACCUGGGAACUGCAGUUGAUACUGGCCGACUAGAGUACGAGAGAGGGAGGUAGAAUUCCAUGUGUAGCGGUGAAAUGCGUAGAUAUAUGGAGGAAUACCAGUGGCGAAGGCGGCCUCCUGGCUCGAUACUGACGCUGAGGUGCGAAAGCGUGGGGAUCAC